rnacentral:rRNA from 1 species
GGGACGAACGCUGGCGGCGUGCUUAACACAUGCAAGUCGAGCGGAAAGGCCCUUCGGGGUACUCGAGCGGCGAACGGGUGAGUAACACGUGAGUAACCUGCCCCUAGCUCUGGGAUAGCUCCGGGAAACCGGGAUUAAUACCAGAUACGACCACUUUAGACAUCUGUCGUGGUGGAAAGGAUUCCGGCUAGGGAUGGGCUCGCGGCCUAUCAGCUUGUUGGUGGGGUAACGGCCUACCAAGGCGACGACGGGUAGCCGGCCUGAGAGGGGCGACCGGGCCAACGACUGGGACUGAGACACGGCCCAGACUCCUACGGGAGGCGGCAGUGGGGAAUAUUGCGCAAUGGGCGAAAGCCUGACGCAGCGACGCCGCGUGGGGAUGAAGGCCUUCGGGUUGUAAACCCUUUCAGCAGGGACGAAGCGAAAGUGACGGUACCUGCAGAAGAAGCGCCGGCUAACUACGUGCCAGCAGUCGC